UACAGUCCAUGGGGUUGCAAAAGAGUUGGACACAACUUAGCGACUAAACAGCAACCAACCAUCUACUGAUACAUAAAGCAUAUGUUGAUAGGCAAAACUGCUAACUAUAUAUAUAAGUAAAAUCUUUGAAGCAAUCACUUAAGAGGGAUAACUUAUUAUCCCCAUUUUGCAGACGGGGACACUGAGGCCUAAAGAACUUAGAUAACUUGCUGAAGGUCACGUAUGUGGAAAUGGUGAAGCGGGGAUUUGCAGGUAGGUGUGUUCAACUCUAAAACCUGGGCUCUUAAUCAUUAGAUUAACUAUAGUGGAGACGUUCACUAUUAGUUCUUUGACCUCUUAACUCUCACUGUGAUUCAUGCUUCAUCAUGAUGAUCUGAUUAACAUUUCUGCACACUCACCUCUUGUCAGACUCUGCAGUCUGUGCUUUAUGUCUGAUAGUUUAUGAAGUCUUCAUAGCCAUCAAACGAGACAGACACCCAUGGUGUACCUUGUAACCACAGUAACACUCAAUAAAUAGAGAUCAAUCUCUUUUACAGAAAACUGAAGUUGAGAGACUAAAUGAACAGCCACAGCACCUCAUGAAACCUUAUUUCAAAUAAAGUACCUUGGGCACACAAACCCUACUCUGCUUCAGUUUGUUCAGAUUGCAACCCUUCUCUUCAAAAAAAAAAAAAGAAAGAAAGAAAGAAAGAAAGAAAGAAAAUUGGGAAGAGGGAAGUAAAUUGUGUGGAACCCUGUGACCUGUAAGUCAAAGCAAUCCCCAAAUUAAAAAGGCAUGAGAACAUUUACUUUUCCUAAGUGGGAUGUUUCCAUUACUUUAAGAAAGAGGGGUUUUAUCCCUACUCUGCCCCCAGCCCUACCACCUCCCACCCACCACUACACACAUACAUACCACUUUGCAUUGCUUUUGUAAAUCAACAACAGAGAGAAAAAUUCCGUUGAAAUCAAGGUGGCAGGGUUUGGCUUCAUGGGACUGAUCACAGUGAGUCUUCAAUUGACUCUGAGCCAGAAGGGAAAAAGCAGCAGACAUGAGGAUCAAGAGAUUGUAGCUAUAUAGUCUGGCUCUGCUACCAAAAAUGAUGGAAAAAAAAAAAAAAAGAAGAA
rnacentral:lncRNA from 1 species